rnacentral:tmRNA from 1 species
GGGGCCGCCCGGUUUUGACAGCAUAGGUCUUUGAAGGUGUAAGCAUGUAGUGCGUUGGAUUGUCGGCACUUUAAUCUUAAAAUUCAAAAUACAAACGGCGAUACACAAUUCGCAAUGGCUGCUUAAUUUAAGCCCCCAUUAACAGGUCGUUCAUUUCGGGUAGAUUUAUAACCUACGUUGAACCGCCUUUACCAGAAAAUAUAAAUUGCUGUAAGAAUAGGCUGUGCUUCUUACAAAAGAUUUAUCCAGCUAAGGAAACAAUUGGUUUGUUCUGCUCCGGUGGUUUCCCAACAAUCAAUGCAGAAAUAAACAUGUAGAAAGCUUUUGCAGAAUAUGUUUGGACAGGGGUUCGACUCCCCUCGGCUCCACCC